AGAGUUUGAUCAUGGCUCAGAGUGAACGCUGGCGGCAGGCCUAACACAUGCAAGUCGAGCGGCAGCGGGCUGUAGCAAUACAGUGCCGGCGAGCGGCGGACGGGUGAGGAAUACAUCGGAAUCUACCUUGUCGUGGGGGAUAACGUAGGGAAACUUACGCUAAUACCGCAUACGAACUACGGUUGAAAGCGGAGGACCGCAAGGCUUCGCGCGAUUGGAUGAGCCGAUGUCGGAUUAGCUAGUUGGCGGGGUAAAGGCCCACCAAGGCGACGAUCCGUAGCUGGUCUGAGAGGAUGAUCAGCCACACUGGAACUGAGACACGGUCCAGACUCCUACGGGAGGCAGCAGUGGGGAAUAUUGGACAAUGGGCGCAAGCCUGAUCCAGCCAUGCCGCGUGUGUGAAGAAGGCCUUCGGGUUGUAAAGCACUUUUGUUCGGGAAGAAAAGCUACCGGUUAAUACCCGGGAGUCAUGACGGUACCGAAAGAAUAAGCACCGGCUAACUUCGUGCCAGCAGCCGCGGUAAUACGAAGGGUGCAAGCGUUACUCGGAAUUACUGGGCGUAAAGCGUGCGUAGGUGGUGCGUUAAGUCUGUCGUGAAAGCCCCGGGCUCAACCUGGGAAUGGCGAUGGAUACUGGCGCGCUAGAGUGCGGUAGAGGAGAGUGGAAUUCCCGGUGUAGCAGUGAAAUGCGUAG
rnacentral:rRNA from 1 species